rnacentral:lncRNA from 1 species
UUGCUUUUGUCUCCAUGUUGUCCAAGGGUUAUGUUGGCCAUGAUCCUGAUAUUAUCAUGGGUUUAGCAGAGUUGUUUAACUUGCAAACUGGAUUGAAGAUUUUGAAUAAAUUUUUGUGUUCUUAAUAUGGUCACAAGUUUGUACUUGUUUAAAACCCUAAAUCAUUUGAAAAUUAUGGCGCCGACAUGGUAGAUGUCCUAGAAAAAACUGGUAGUAACUCAAUGUAGAUACACAUAGUCGAUGGAGUUACUUGCUAAUAACUGGCAAUGAGACAUAUUUGCUUCAAAUGAUGCCUUUAAAGUUUGAAAAGAUUUUUUUAAAUUCAAAUGUCGACAUUUUGUUACAUGAAAAAAGAUACUUAUUUCAACCCCUCGACUAUAUUGAUACACUUAGUAUGUGGAGUUACUUGUCAAUAGCUGGCGAUGAAACUUUUAAACGUAACGUCUUUAAGGGCUGAGAAAGUAAAAAUUAGAAAUCUGCAGACUGCAACGUAAAUCGAUUUCAACACGUUAUGGCUUCUCGGAUAUAUUUAGUUUCCGAUUGAAAUGAGAAUAAACUGAACUUAUAUAUAAAGUGUUUACAAUUAACUUUUUAAACUAGAAAUACUCCAAAGGAGGUUCUCCAAACGCAAGUUAAGCAAAGUCGAUAGAUGUUAAUAUCUUUUAUAUUAUGUUUUAGAUAUUAAAAAAAAUUUGUGACUUUAAUAUUUAUGUUAUAAUUGUAAAUUGCAAUCUUAAAAGGG